ACAGUGCCUGACGUUGAGAGGGCUCUUAAUAAGUGUUUGUGAAAGACUGAUAGAGAAAUGCCCUAUGAAACAAGAAACUGGAUAACAUUGCUCAGGACUCAGAGGAGAGAGGAGUGUGGUCUACACUUCACAUCUCUGCCAAGCCUGGCACUGGAUUUGAAGUUCCACACCACUGAGCCAAACACAUCCAGACUCUCUUCCAACCCAGGGAUCUGGUGGUAAGCAAAAUGAUAUUCCAGCAAGUGAUGCCCCUAAUCUCCUAAGGAUAUAAGCAAAAGGAUAAAGCCUCACCAUGAGCCCAGCUGUGUGCUGAGUCCCAGGAGCCCUUCCAGGGAACCUCCAAACAUGAGAAACAGGAAGUUGUGUUUGGCUACGGACAAACUAUUUCAGGGCCCCUGGGACUUACAAGAUGUUUGGAAUGAGGAACGCUCUCCCAAGACGGUGAGCUCAGCGGAGGCCCCCAGAGAAACAUGCUAUGCGGGAGGAGAGUUUUCCCCAUAAGACAGACCGUCCUUCAGCCCCGGCCACCAAAGAGGAGCAACCCGGGCCUGCUGUUCUCCGGGACUGAAUGCGGCCGCAUCCUUCCCUUCCUCUGCUUCCUGCUCCAGUACCUACUGAAGGUGCACACGUGGGGCCUGGGGAAGCUGGGUAUCUAACCCACGGUGCAGCUACGGUUGGGAAAUUCUGGGCAGGGACGAGCCUGUCUUCCCCCGGGGAAUUCCCUCCCAUAUUGCACAGGGCAGAGUGGGAGUGGAG